rnacentral:rRNA from 1 species
UACGGAGGGUGCAAGCGUUGUCCGGAAUCACUGGGCGUAAAGGGCGCGUAGGCGGCUCAUGAAGGCUGUGGUGAAAGUCCGGGGCUCAACCUCGGAUCGGCCGUGGCGACUCGUGGGCUGGAGCACUGUAGAGGCGGGUGGAAUUCCGGGUGUAGCGGUGGAAUGCGUAGAGAUCCGGAAGAACACCAGUGGCGAAGGCGGCCCGCUGGGCAGUGGCUGACGCUGAGGCGCGACAGCGUGGGG